rnacentral:rRNA from 2 species
UACCCGCAGAAGAAGCACCGGCUAACUCCGUGCCAGCAGCCGCGGUAAUACGGAGGGUGCAAGCGUUAAUCGGAAUUACUGGGCGUAAAGCGCACGCAGGCGGUUUGUUAAGUCAGAUGUGAAAUCCCCGGGCUCAACCUGGGAACUGCAUCUGAUACUGGCAAGCUUGAGUCUCGUAGAGGGGGGUAGAAUUCCAGGUGUAGCGGUGAAAUGCGUAGAGAUCUGGAGGAAUACCGGUGGCGAAGGC